rnacentral:rRNA from 1 species
UACGAAGGGGGCUAGCGUUGCUCGGAAUCACUGGGCGUAAAGGGUGCGUAGGCGGGUCUUUAAGUCAGGGGUGAAAUCCUGGAGCUCAACUCCAGAACUGCCUUUGAUACUGAAGAUCUUGAGUUCGGGAGAGGUGAGUGGAACUGCGAGUGUAGAGGUGAAAUUCGUAGAUAUUCGGAAGAACACCGGUGGCGAAGGCGACAUCCUGGACCGGUAUUGACGCUGAGGCGCGAAAGCCAGGGGAGCAAACGGG